UAGUUUAAUCUGAAAUGGGUUGUUUUCAGUCAGAUUUCCGUUCGUAGUUAAGGUCUGGACGGAUUUACUUGUUAAAAAAAGCUUCGAGAAGUUGCUACAAGUGGUAGCAUUGCUGUGCUGAGCUAUCGCUGGGCGAGCCGUUAGCGUCGCGCGCGCGCACGGACUGCGCGAGGCGUGCGGCGCGAGAUGUCUCACGAGCUGUCCGAUCUGAGGGAUUUAAAAAGUUUAAACUCGGAUUAUUAACGGAAUCUAACGGAAAUUUCGUCAAAAUGAACCGACGGCGUGGACGGAUAUUUUAAAGAGUAAAAGAGAGAGAGAGAGAGAAAUAUAUAUCUUUAUAUAUGUAUACAUAUAUCUCGAAAUUCUUGAGGUGAUCUUCACUUUGACGAGUUCUUAAGAGUGGAAACUUGCUCGUGGGAAUCAAUGCGGUUUCAUUCGAAAGGACGUGCGGUCCGAAACUCACCUAAACGUCAGCUCCUAUAUGUCGAAGAAGACCUUGAAGUGAAUCUGGAAGACACCUGAGAAGUUCAUAUUUCUUCUACAUAGCCAAAUCCUUAAUGCUAAACACACACACACACACACACACACACACACACACACACACACACACACACUUUGCUGAAUUAGCACCUACACUGCUAAAUCAUAUUAGUGAAAGAUCAAACACAGUGUUAAAUGAACUAUGUCCUACUUUUGUCUGUUAUUAAAACACUGUAGGUUAUAAUUAAAGUAGCUGUAGGACUUAUUUCAACAUUAUAGGUGGUUUGGUUUAGCUUUGGGAAUUUUCCCACAUUAAUAUUCGGUAAGCAUCGCUCUAUUCCAAAUUUCAGUUGCAGGCUAAAACAAGAUAAGAGUUUGCUAGCCAGAUUUAUGCCCUAGCCUACCUGUUUAGCAAAUGCAGACAUCGACAUGCAAAGAAAACCCAAAAAGGUUCAACGUGUAAUACUUCUCAGAUGCAUCUUUUAUUAUUUACUUUCUCCGGCUUCUCGGCUAGCGUGUGUUUACCAUCCGACCCAUCAUAUUUGGCCACGACUGAAUGAGAGUUCGGCUUCAGGCGGGUGUUUCUCUUCACACAUCAUCUUCUAACUGCUUGUAGAUUCCAGAGACAGCCAAAAGGAAGAGAGAGAGAGAGAAAGGAGAGAUUGAGGAAGAGAAAGAGAGAGAGGCAUUGGGUCAGAGGCCUGAAUGUGAUGACAAACAUGUUGGAGCCAAUAUCGAAAUUUUCCAGCUUUCAGAUGGAUUUUAUUAUUUACAUUCUUUCGCCGUAGUGUGUGUCAUGAAACAUUCAUUUACAGUGCAUUUAUUAAUUUGACACACAUUUUUACAUAUACAAUCACUCAAAAGUAUAAUUUACUGUAAAAUUUGGGCUGUUCAGGGGCCAAACAGAGGCACACUGGGAUUCGAUCUCAUGACCUUCUGGUUGCUAGUGCACAAGCAUAUGCCAUUGUGACAUGUAUAAACCUAACACUGCACAAAAAGGUUUACAAAUUUCAAUGCGGUUAUAUACAAUCUUAAAAUUUAAGCGCAUUUGUUCAAGGACCAAACAGAGGUUUGUCUGGGAUUUGUCCUCACAACCUUCUGGUCACUAUUGUAAAGCCUAAUGCCCUUUUGACAUAAAGUAAGAAACAAGGUUUACAAUAUACGUGGAGUAAAUACAGUACAGCUCUUGGAGUUAAGAGAGUUUGUUCAAGGGUAAAACAGAGGCUCACUGGGAUUUGACCUCACAACCUACAGGUCGCUAGUGCAGAGCCAUUUUGCACCAUUUUGACAUAUAUACAUCUAAUACCAUGCAAAAGGGUUACACAUCUCAGCAGGGCUAUGUACAAUCCUAGGACUUAGGGGGGUUUGUUCAAGGGCUAAACCGAGGUUUCUCUUGGAUCUGACCUCACAGCCGUCUGGUGACUAUUCCGAAGCUUAAUGCCCUUUUGACCCCACACACAAGGUUUACAAUAUAAGGGGGCUAAAUACAAUUUUAUGAGUUAAGAGAGUUUGUUCAAGAGUUAAACAAAGGCCCAAUGGGAUUUGACCUCACAGUCUUAUGGUCACUAUUGCAGAGCCUUAUGUACAUUUGACAUAUAAUAGGUUUACAAUAUAAGUGGGGCUGUAAACAGUCCUAAGAGUUAAGGAAUUUUAUUCAAGGGAAGAACAGAGACACGCUGAGAUUUGAGCUCACAACCUUACGGUCAGUAGUACAGAGCCAUAACCGCUGAGCAGUCACUCCCUUACAAUCUGUAACGACUCCUGCAUUUCUGUCAGUGAGUGAGUAAGCAAAUCAGUGAGAGUCUUUCAGGCACUACAGAUUGUCUGGACAUGCUAGGCUACGUAGACUUACUCUUCUAAUUUCAGUGAAAAAAGGGAGGAGACUUCAACUAUUAAUCUUUUUUUGUUCUCUCUCAAGCUAACCAUUCAAACCGUUUCCCAUCAAUCCUGGUGGUGAGCAUUCCAUUUAUUUCCAGAGUGAAAGUAAAGAUGUAGACGUCCCUGUUGCGGACAGAGCGGUUGUAUUUGAGAUUUACGGCUAGAACGACGGCGCAUGUGUUAUGGAAAACAGAUAUACAGGGAGACGAGAGUGGCACUGGAUGAAUGUAUCUCCAGGGCAUAGCUGCCAGAGCUGAGCAUCAGCUACUGAAGAAGCACUUAAUAAAAAACACAUACACACACACACACACACACACACACACACACACACACAGAGGCAGCUAUUGGGUCUGUCCUAACCUGCACAGCUAUCGCACAAACUGAAAAUAAAGAUAAAAAACAAAUGUUACACAUGUGCCACUUCCUAACCUAAUAUCAGAUAUCAGGUGUUAAAAAAGGCUGUAAAAGUAGGAGAGGAUGAAAGCUUGAGAAUGAAGGCCAUUAAUGGGAAGCAUUCUCAUUCACUGCAGUGAUAAUGUUAUCCAGAGCAGGUCUCAGAACUGGGUCUGGACUUUCUCUUCCUUUGGACAGGAGAAAACAAAAAAAGAGCGGGAGAGAAAGAGAGAGAGAGAGCAGGGCCACCCAAACCUGUAAGAUCUACACGAUGAUGUCUGAUAGUCCCUUCACACGGUGGCUCUGGUGCUUGAUCUGAAAAUUCCAAAUAUCAGAAACACGUGUGCUGAGUUGCAACAGCAUUCCUGCACUGAUUGUGAAUCGAUAAGCUUGUGCAACUAAUUUCCUUUUCUGUGCUGUAAUUCCCCCGCCUUGUUCGGAGAGAAUGUUGAACUUGGCCUUUUUCCACAGGGUGUGUUGAUGAGUGGGAUGCUGCUAAUCCACACUGAUGCUGAACAAGGGAUCACAGAUAUAUCAUUGUUUAAUCAAGGCUUUGUUUCAUCAUGACCAUGUUACACUCCGUCAUUAAAAAAAAAAAAGAAAAAGCAUUUUCCAAGCGUAUAUUUGCAACUUCUUUAUCGAGCUUUUAGCUUACGCUAAUAAUCAUUUAUAUUGCACACACACUGGGCCUCACUGAUCGAGCCGGAUAUGAAGGAAUUUAUUCAUGAAUCGAUCACAGAAGCUUUCACACAAGAAAUGUGGUGUUCAUGAAAAUCCAGUUAGUUGGGAGGAAAACAUUCCCGUCCUACGUUUCCCUCCUAUAAAGGAGACUCAUUUGAUCAGCUUCGAAUCAUUUAAUCGGCAACAAGUUACUGCGAUUUUAUAUACGGACUAUGCUGUUUGAAGUUGAAAUGGCUUAUUGUUUCGAGACACUCGGGCGUUUCAUAUGAACGACUUGCAAGAAAGCACUCUUUAGUUGUAAUUUCUGUUGUGUUCAGAUUCUGUAAUGGGGGCUUUUAUGGGGUUUUGUGGGCAUCACUACAUGAGUAAAACAUAUUUAGUUUCAGUUUGGUCACAAAAAAACGUUUAACGCAUUGCCAUCAGUACUUCUGCAUGCUAUCUGGAAGGCACCAGAAGGAUACCAGUCUUGAAAGGUUCCUUACACUUCACUCAUUGCAGGCAGCAAAUUUUGAUGCCUCAGAUGAGGGAGGAAUUAAAGGGAAAAACAGACCUUAACUAACAUUAUUUUUCAUUUGGGUUUGGGUCCCUGUAAGGGGAAGAGUCACGGCAAAGCAAAACAACAUUCUUCUAACCGAUUCCCUAAAACACCUACAGUAUGGGAUAUUUUGGAGCACUGUGUUACACAGGGAAUUCCACCAUCAUGAUCAAAACAUCAAUUGAGGGAAUUCGUUUUUAAAGUACAACAUGUUAAAGAGAGAAGAAGAAGCCUUUAUUUUUCACAUAUACAUUAGAGAGCACUGAAAUUCUUUUCUUAACGUAUAAAAGCUUGUUAGGAAGCUGGAGUCGGAGCACAGGGUACAGCACCCCUGGAGCAGAGAGGGUUAAGGGCCUUGCAGUGGCAGCUUGGUAGUGCUGGGGCUUAAACCCUUGAUCUUCUGAUCAGUAACCCAGAACUUUAACCAUCGAGCCACCAUUGCCCUCGUUGAGCCACCACUGCCCUAAAGGUAUCACAUCACUGUCUUAAAGGUAUCACACCACUGCCCUAAAGGUAUCACACCACUGUCUUAAAAGUAUCACACCACUGCCCUAAAAGUAUCACACCACUGCCCUAAAAGUAUCACACCACUGCCCUAAAUGUAUCACAAGAAUGCCCUAAAGGUAUCACACCCCUGCCCUAAAAGUAUCGCAUCACUGCCCUAAAACUAUCACACCACUGCUCUAAAGGUAUCACACCAGAGAUUUGUAAACUCUAUGCAAGGUGCACUGGAGCUGUUCUGUUGCCUCAAGGUGGGCCAUCACCUUACUAACACACUUUAUCAGUCCCUCUAGGAUCUCGCGAUCGCAUAAAUUAACACAAAAUCAAGCAAACUCCGCAAUAUUCUGAGGCGCUUGCGAUUUUUCAAAAUUACAGCAGAUUUGGGCCAAGAUGCGUACUAUAACUUCAUCACAACGCAAAUUCAGCCAAAGCCCUCUUCGAUUCACGUGCAUCGAAAGAGUACAGCUAAAAGGUCUCGUUUAACAACAGACAUCACUGCGAAAGUCCGUGUGAAACUAUUUUUUGCAACUGCAAUUUCGCCAGUUCGAGUAGUUUUCAACACAACAAAGCACAAAAAACUCUGCAAGUUGUAUCACAAAUUUUUUAACAAGCCACAACAAAAACAAGCGAUUUUGGCAGGAACAAUCACCAAAAAAAAACUGCUUUAUGUGGUUUAUCAUUGAAUUUGAUAAAAGCAUAUGUUCGGUUUUUAGCCUCAGUCACGAGCUAGCUUAUUCUCAGCGUCCAUAUUUCUCCACAACAGUGUUGUCACAGUAUUAACCGCUUAAAUCAAAGUGCGUUGUACCGAAAGCGAAGACUGUUAAACUGAGAUAUUGUUAAUGUUUGGGUUUAUAUAUGGCUGCGAUAGUCGGUGUUCCUGGUGUUACACGGCGUUCGGUCGCACACCGAUUACAUCACUUGCCCACCGCGGUACUGUUGCUUUGCUUUUUAAUAGUAAUAAAAAUCAUUUCGUUCAGUUAGAGAGCAGACUCUACGAUUAAAAACCGAACACGUCUUCUCAAUUCCCCUGCUCCAAACGAGUCAGCAGCGUAGAUCAGCAGGAGUCAGGUUUCAUUCAUCACGUGAUGAGAGUGAGGCGAGCUGACUGACAAGACGAUGGUGGAAGCUUUGGUUUAAUAUAAGAGAGUUUCUCAUUGUACUGUUUUGUUGUUGUUGCGUUUUUCAUUAAGAAUAAUGAACCCACCAUUCAAGCAAUUCAACAUCAACAGGAACUGUCAGUGUGUGGUGUGGCCACCAGUACUACAUCUCAUCCUCAUGGACUGCACCAGAUUGGUCAGUUCUUGCUGUGAGAUGUUCCUCCACUCUUCCACCAAGGCAUCUGCAAGUUCUCCAUCACGUCUGGGGGACACAUGUUUGCAUGUAAUUUUCCAUCCGCUGUACUUCCUGUCUCCUUGUAGCACCGUCUCAGGCAUCUUACAUUACAGACAUUGCAGUGUAUUGCUCUGGCCACAUCUGCAGUCCUCAUGUCUCCCUGCAGCAGGUCUAUGGCAUGUUCACGCAGGUGCAUGUGCAAUAAUUGUUUACGGUUAAUCGAACAAUCAUGAAGAACAUCGUUUAAACCCUUUCCAAUAAAGAUCUGUAAAGCUUAUUUGGAUUUUACAAUACAGUCUCCUGAAAAAGGGACGUUUCUUUUUUAUUUACAGGCCUAAAUGUUUUUCUUGUGAACGUACAGAUGAGCUGCAUGCCUGACAGGUGGCAGCGAGUCGAAUGUGAGUUGUGUAAUUGGAAAGUGAGUCUUCGCGAUGGCUGACGUGCCUGAUUUAUGUGUGUUGUUAACUGCACAGGGGGGAAAGUGUUCUUUUCAAAAGGGAACUUGAUGAGUGUGGGUGAACGCGUGUGUCUGUGUGUGUGUGUGUGAGCACUUGAUGAACACACGUGCAGGUGAUGGACUGGGAGGAGGUCGGAGACAGUAGCACUUUAUCUCCAUAACGCUCCAUUUGCUGUGAUAAUGCGCUCGACUGGGUCUGCUAGCCAGGCACAACAAAACAGCUUGGCUCUGUGUGCUUUAUACUCAAACACACACACACACACACCCUCAGAGUCCAUUACUCUUAAACCCUGCACACCCGCAUACAUAUACACAUAAACAAGCUCUCUUUUGUGUCCUAUCUCACUGCUAGCCUUUUAACGCAAACGUGAAAUCGACACUUGGUAUCUCCUUAUCUUACACACUCGCCUUACUCAAACUCUCUCUCUUUCACACACACACACACACACACACACACACACACACACACACACACACACAGUGCCGUCUAAGCCAGCUAAUACUAUCCCCAUAACAACCACAAGCUCACAGGCAAAUGCACCAUAUUACAAACAUGAGGCCUAGCACAGAUCCUCAAGGUCCUCAUCAUGAGAUUAAACAAGCACUGUGCUUUGGUCUCCAGACUCUACCAUAACUGUUUAUAACACAAGCGGAAUUUCGUGCAAGAGAAUCAUUUGAGCACGAUCGUCCUCUUGUUUGAUCAAUGCGAGCAUGACAUUUCCUAAAGUAAACACAAACUCUAUUAAUUGUCGACUUGACAAACCCUCAGAACUCACAGCUCCAUGAAGGGCACGAUGGAGCGAUGGAGUGGCAGGAACAUUUACCACUCAGUAAAAAAUGUUCAAACUGAUUCCUGAAAUUUUUUAACCGUAAAACUUAGUGCAUCUCCAACUUGUUCUGACCGAACCUUACUGUGCUUUUAACAUGCUGCCCACUGUGCAGUGUUGAUCAUGUAUAGA